UAAGGAAUAUUGGUCAAUGGACGCAAGUCUGAACCAGCCAUGCCGCGUGAAGGAUUAAGGCCCUCUGGGUUGUAAACUUCUUUUAUAGGGGAAGAAAUGUGACGGUUCUUCGUCACUUGACGGUACCCUGGGAAUAAGCACCGGCUAACUCCGUGCCAGCAGCCGCGGUAAUACGGAGGGUGCAAGCGUUAUCCGGAUUCACUGGGUUUAAAGGGUGCGUAGGUGGGCAGAUAAGUCAGUGGUGAAAUCUCCGAGCUUAACUUGGAAACUGCCGUGGAUACUAUAGGUCUUGAAUUAUCUGGAGGUAAGCGGAAUAUGUCAUGUAGCGGUGAAAUGCUUAGAUAUGACAUAGAACACCAAUUGCGAAGGCAGCUUACUACAUAUAAAUUGACGCUGAGGCACGAAAGCGUGGGGAUCAAACA
rnacentral:rRNA from 1 species